UACGGGGGGGGCAAGCGUUGUUCGGAAUUACUGGGCGUAAAGGGCUCGUAGGCGGCCAACUAAGUCACACGUGAAAUCCCCAGGCUUAACCUGGGAACUGCGUGUGAUACUGGAUGGCUUGAAUUCGGGAGAGGGAUGCAGAAUUCCAGGUGUAGCGGUGAAAUGCGUAGAUAUCUGGAGGAAUACCGGUGGCGAAGGCGGCAUCCUGGACCGACAUUGACGCUGAUGAGCGAAAGCUAGGGGAGCAAACGGG
rnacentral:rRNA from 1 species